rnacentral:rRNA from 1 species
AGUUUGAAAAACACAGUCCUAAGGAUACCAGAUCCUGUCUGAUCUUUGAAACUAAGCAGGAUCAGCUCUGGUCAAUACUUGGAUGGGAACCUACCAGAUAAUAUCAGAUGCUAUAGGUC